AUUCAAAUAGCUUAUGUAGAGUGUAACACUGAAGAUGUUAAGGAGGUCUAGGACCUUUGGAUA
rnacentral:tRNA from 1 species